GUCCACGCCUAACGCUGUCUGCUAGCUAUGGGAGUAUCGACCCUCUCUGUGGCGUAGCUAACGCAUUAAGCAGACCGCCUGGGUAGUACGAGCGCAAGCUUAAACUCAAAGGAAUAGACGGGGCUCGCACAAGCGGUGGAUCAUGGGGCUUAAUUCGUCACUAAGCGAGGAACCUUACCGAGGCUAGAAAUUCUACUGCACGCUCCUUGAAAGGGGAGAAGCCUUCGAGGGUGUAGAACAGGUGAUGCAUGGCCGUCGU
rnacentral:rRNA from 1 species